rnacentral:rRNA from 1 species
GACGAACGCUGGCGGCGCGCCUAACACAUGCAAGUCGAACGGAGCUGCGAGAAGCUUGCUUUUCUUAGCUUAGUGGCGAACGGGUGAGUAACGCGUGAGUAACCUGCCCUGGAGUGGGGGACAACAGCUGGAAACGACUGCUAAUACCGCAUAAGCCUACGAUCCGGCAUCGGCAUGAGGGAAAAGGAUUUAUUCGCUUCAGGAUGGACUCGCGUCCAAUUAGCUAGUUGGUGGGGUAACGGCCCACGAAGGCGACGAUUGGUAGCCGGACUGAGAGGUUGAGCGGCCACACUGGGACUGGGACACGGCCGAGACUCCUACGGGAGGGAGCAGUGGGGGAUAUUGCACAAUGGGGGAAACCAUGAUGCAGCGACGCCGCGUGGAGGAAGAAGGUUUUCGGAUUGUAAACUCCUGUCGUUAGGGACGAUAAUGACGGUACCUAACAAGAAAGCACCGGCUAACUACGUG